rnacentral:rRNA from 1 species
CGGACGGGUGAGUAAUACAUCGGAACGUGUCCUAAAGUGGGGGAUAACGCAUCGAAAGAUGUGCUAAUACCGCAUAAUCUCUGAGGAGAAAAGUAGGGGAUCGAAAGACCUUAUGCUUUUGGAGCGGCUGAUGUCUGAUUAGCUAGUUGGUAAGGUAAUGGCUUACCAAGGCGACGAUCAGUAGUUGGUCUGAGAGGACGACCAGCCACACUGGGACUGAGACACGGCCCAGACUCCUACGGGAGGCAGCAGUGGGGAAUUUUGGACAAUGGGCGCAAGCCUGAUCCAGCAAUGCCGCGUGAGUGAAGAAGGCCUUCGGGUUGUAAAGCUCUUUCAGUUGAAAAGAAAAAGUCGUGACUAAUAAUCAUGGCUCAUGACGGUAUCAACAGAAGAAGCACCGGCUAACUACGUGCCAGCAGCCGCGGUAAUACGUAGGGUGCAAGCGUUAAUCGGAAUUACUGGGCGUAAAGGGUGCGCAGGCGGUUCUGUAAGUCAGAUGUGAAAUCCCCGGGCUUAACCUGGGAACUGCGUUUGAAACUGCAGAGCUAGAGUGCGGCAGAGGGAGGUGGAAUUCCAUGUGUAGCAGUGAAAUGCGUAGAGAUAUGGAAGAACAUCGAUGGCGAAGGCAACCUCCUGGGCUAGCACUGACGCUCAUGCACGAAAGCGUGGGGAGCAAACAGGAUCAGAUACCCUGGUAGNNNACGCCCUAAACUAUGUCAACUAGUUGUCGGGUCUUAAUAGACUUGGUAACGUAGCUAACGCNNNAAGUUGACCGCCUGGGGAGUACGGUCGCAAGAUAAAACUNNNNNNNAUUGACGGGGANCCNCACAAGCGGUGGAUUAUGUGGNNNAAUU